rnacentral:lncRNA from 1 species
UUCCCUUUGAAAGUGAAGCUGCCUGUGGAGGCACUGGGAUCCAAAGAAGACUGCAGAAAUUGAGUGUCUGUGCCAAAAAAGUAUAGGAAAUGAUGACUUCAUUAAAAAACAAAAUAAUCAGUCUUUCACAGUGUUUCGCUGUCGAGUUGAUCAGUUCCCAGAGACUAAACUGCUGUCUCCACCUGUUUCUUCUUUAAGACUCGGCUUCUCUUUAAGAGCUCCCUCAUUCUGUCAUCUGACGCUUUG